GGGCAGAAUCACCCACUGAGUCCCAGACACAAACUGCAUGAGGGUCUACACAGGUAAGAAGGUCGGUCUCCGAGGCCUGGGGCUCCAGGCCCCCUCAGCUCUGGGACCCUGAGCCCAGCCCCUGUAUCCCUCUGCCCUCCCAAUGGACUCCAGGCCCCUGCUGGGCACACUCACACUGCACAGAGAGGUCCAGGGCUCGCUGCUGGGAGCCAAGCCUGUUCUCCGCUCGGCAGGUGUAGCGCCCUGAAUCCCCAGCCUUCACCCCGGGCAGCUCCAGCCCCAGGGGUCUAGGGCCCCAGGGAUGGGACGAGGAGAGGACUCUGUUCUGCAGGACCCAGCUCAGUGUGGCAGGGGGCUGGCUGUCAGCAGCACAGAGGAGCCGCAGGAACUGGCCUUUUUGGGCUUCCAGGGCUGCGGCGGCAUCCUGGGACCCCACAGCUUCCUCUCCCUGGAUGCUCCUGAGCUGGGAGCCGCUCACUGUCCCACUGGGCUCCUCCACCUCCCCACCCACCGGGGCUGUCUGCACACCCCACCCUCCCAGGCCACACUCACAGGCCACACGGAGUCGGACGGUCCUCUGUGCGCUCACACCCUUUCUGGAGAAGUCCACAUGGCAGCUUCCUCUCUCCACCCGAAAGAAGUACUGUGACUCAUCCUGCAUCUGCGCGUCUCUGAUCACCAAGGAGCAGUUCCCCUUGGCGGGAUCCCCAGUGAGCUGGAAUCGGCCCCGGGUGCUCAUUUCCACCUCUCGACUCUGGUGGUUUGUGGCCACAGGAGCACCCUUGGUUGUCUCAGUCACUGCUUUGAACCAGUAGCCAUAAGCUGGGGUAGACCCUGUCCAGUCCUGUCGGGGGUAGGAGAAAGAGCAGGGCACAGAGAUGCACAGGCCCUCCGGCACCAUCACUGACUCCUGCACUCGUAUCCAGAAUCUCCCAUCCAUAGCCUGGGACCCUGUGGGGAGACAGAGGCUCAACCUGCAACCCCAGCCCUAGCUCCGCCCCAGGUCCUUUCCGGCCCUUGGCCCACUCACCGCCCAGCAGCGAGGACAGCAGCAGUGGCAGUAGCAUCUCCGCAUAGGAGGCGCAGGGCCUGCCUGAGACAGGCCUGUUCUCUGGUCGUGCUGUGAGUGGCUCAGGGCUCUUGGCAGAAGGGGAAGCCGAAGGCGGAAGCUGAGCCCUGGGGCCUGAUGCAUGAAAUGAGCUUCAGACGCUGAGCUCACAGAACUCCUUUGCCUUCCCCCACACUCUCCGGCCCACCUUGCCCAGUUGUCCUCUGGGUCUCCUGGGGGCCCAGCCUGGCCUUGGGCUUGUUGAGCUGGUCCUUCCAGAGCUCCCUGUGUAGGAGGAGAGGGCAGGCUUGUGUCUAUCCUGGGGGCCUGGCUGGGGGUGGGGUAGUGGGGUGGGGGCUCUCCCUCUGGGCCCUGGGUCAUCGGAAAAGCAGAAGUGAGAAGUCCACAGUGAGCUACCCUUAUCUGGGCCACUGGUGGUGGAGGUGGUGGGUACAGGGGAAGGGACCGUUACUGGAGGGGGCUGGUCUUGUCAGGUAAAAUGCAGGAUGCCUGGUUAAAGCUUUCACAGACAAUAUAAAGUAUUUUAUUUUAUGUUUUUUGGUAUAAGUAUGUCCGAAAUGCUGCAUGGGAUAUACUUAUACCAGAAAGCAAAAUAAAUUUAUCUGAAAUUCAAA
rnacentral:lncRNA from 1 species